AACGAACGCUGGCGGCACGCCUAACACAUGCAAGUCGAACGAGAUCUUCGGAUCUAGUGGCGGACGGGUUAGUAACGCGUGGGAACGUACCCUUCACUACGGAAUAGUCCCGGGAAACUGGGUUUAAUACCGUAUACGCCCUUCGGGGGAAAGAAUUUCGGUGAGGGAUCGGCCCGCGUUAGAUUAGUUAGUUGGUGGGGUAAUGGCCUACCAAGACUACGAUCUAUAGCUGGUUUGAGAGGAUGAUCAGCAACACUGGGACUGAGACACGGCCCAGACUCCUACGGGAGGCAGCAGUGGGGAAUCUUAGACAAUGGGGGCAACCCUGAUCUAGCGAUGCCGCGUGAGUGAUGAAGGCCUUAGGGUCGUAAAGCUCUUUCGCCUGUGAUGAUAAU
rnacentral:rRNA from 1 species